ensembl:snRNA U6 U6 spliceosomal RNA
GUGCUUGCUUUGGCAGCACAUAUACUAAAAUUCAAACGAUACAGAGAAGAUUAGUGUGGCCCCUGUGCAAGGAUGACAUACAAAUUAAUGAAGGAUUCCAAUUAAAA